rnacentral:rRNA from 1 species
GACGAACCGUACGAACGUUAUUCGGAAUUACUGGGCUUAAAGGGUGCGUAGGCUGUGCGGAAAGUUGGGCGUGAAAUACCUCAGCUUAACUGAGGAACUGCGUUCAAAACUACCGUGCUCGAGGGAGACAGAGGUAAGCGGAACUGAGGGUGGAGCGGUGAAAUGCAUUGAUAUCCACAGGAACUCCGGUGGCGAAGGCGGCUUGCUGGACCUCUUCUGACGCUGAGGCGCGAAAGCCAGGGGAGCAAACGGG